UACGGAGGGGGCUAGCGUUGUUCGGAAUUACUGGGCGUAAAGCGCACGUAGGCGGCUUUGUAAGUUAGAGGUGAAAGCCCGGGGCUCAACUCCGGAAUUGCCUUUAAGACUGCAUCGCUAGAAUUGUGGAGAGGUAAGUGGAAUUCCGAGUGUAGAAGUGAAAUUCGUAGAUAUUCGGAAGAACACCAGUGGCGAAGGCGACUUACUGGACACAUAUUGACGCUGAGGUGCGAAAGCGUGGGGAGCAAACAGG
rnacentral:rRNA from 1 species